CCUACGGGAGGCAGCAGUAGGGAAUUUUCGUCAAUGGGCGCAAGCCUGAACGAGCAAUGCCGCGUGAACGAGGAAGGUCUUCGGAUCGUAAAGUUCUGUUGAAGGGGACAAAGAGCGGAGAGAGGAAAUGGUCUCCGAUUGAUAUUACUCUUCGAGGAAGUCACGGCUAACUACGUGCCAGCAGCCGCGGUAAUACGUAGGUGGCGAGCGUUAUCCGGAUUGAUUGGGCGUAAAGGGUGCGUAGGCGGCCUGCUACGUCUGGAGUGAAAGGUACCGGCUCAACCGGUAUAGGCUCUGGAAACUGGCGGGCUAGAGAGCAGGAGAGGGCGGUGGAACUCAAUGUGUAGCGGUAAAAUGCGUAGAUAUAUGGAAGAACACCAGUGGCGAAGGCGGCCGCCUGGCCUGUUACUGACGCUGAGGCACGAAAGCGUGGGGAGCAAAUAGGAUUAGAUACCCCGGUAGUC
rnacentral:rRNA from 1 species